rnacentral:rRNA from 1 species
GAUGAACGCUGGCGGCGUGCUUAACACAUGCAAGUCGAACGAUGAAGCCCAGCUUGCUGGGUGGAUUAGUGGCGAACGGGUGAGUAACACGUGAGUAACCUGCCCUUAACUCUGGGAUAAGCCUGGGAAACUGGGUCUAAUACCGGAUAGGAGCGUCCACCGCAUGGUGGGUGUUGGAAAGAUUUAUCGGUUUUGGAUGGACUCGCGGCCUAUCAGCUUGUUGGUGAGGUAAUGGCUCACCAAGGCGACGACGGGUAGCCGGCCUGAGAGGGUGACCGGCCACGCUGGGACUGAGACACGACCCAGACUCCUACGGGAGGCAGCAGUGGGGAAUAUUGCACGAUGGGCGAAAGCCUGAUGCAGCGACGCCGCGUGAGGGAUGACGGCCUUCGGGUUGUAAACCUCUUUCAGUAGGGAAGAAGCGAAAGUGACGGUACCUGCAGAAGAAGCACCGGCUAACUACGUGCCAGCCGCCGCCGUAA